rnacentral:rRNA from 1 species
AACGUAGGUUCCGAGCGUUAUCCGGAUUUACUGGGCGUAAAGCGCGUUCAGGCGGUUUGGCAAGUCGGGCAUGAAAUCUCUCGGCUCAACCGGGAGAGGUUGUCCGAUACUGCUGGACUUGAGGGCAGUAGAGGGUGGUGGAAUUCCGGGUGUAGUGGUGAAAUGCGUAGAUAUCCGGAGGAACACCAGUGGCGAAAGCGGCUACCUGGACUGCACCUGACGCUGACACGCGAAAGCUAGGGGAGCGAACGGG